CUCCCCGCCAAGUGCCUGCAUUUGUUCAAGACCCACCCCCACAUCCAUCUACCAGACUCCUCUUCCAUCCUCCGAGCCCGCUCGGCCACACCCACCGUGCGGAGCGUCCUCACCGCUGCCUAACACAGCCUUCGGGCCCGCUGCACGUCACAUCUUCCCGCUGGGGCCCGGGCGCCGCUGGGCUCCCCGCAGAGUUUUCCAGGAGUUCUCAUCCCGCACCCCCCACACGCAGAGCGGCACCUGCCCCAGGGGUGCUCUGCAAGGACUCGGCCUCCUGCAGUGCGUGGUGGCAGAGCUGCUUUCCUGAGCAGGUGGCAUCAGAGCAACGGGAAAGACUGAUUUUCUGAGCAGGACCAGUAAGCCCGCUCCUCGCCAUUUGGACAAGCCCAGGAAGAGCCACAGCCACAGAGAUGACCAGGUGGGGCCGGCCCAGGACCAGAGCAGGUGGGAACCCUCGGACCAGGUAGCGUUGUCCCCCGAUCUCAAACACCAGUGUGACCGCUCCUCAGACCAACUCAACAGGGAAGAGCGUCAGUAUGGUCACCGUCAACAAGGCCACCGUCCCCACAAGAGAUCACACCGUGUCUUCUCCGCUUCUGCGUCCUCUGAGAAGCAGACCCAAGGCUGAGCUCCCUGGGCAAGGAGUGUCUCAGGGGAAAUGCCACGUCGAUGGGGAGGCAGAGUGAACUGUCAGACUGUGUGGGAACUGACCCUCAGGAAGACCACUGCCAGUCUAGGGAAUCUGGACAAAGUCACCAUCAGAGGCAUCUGCCUCUCUAGAAUUCUCCGCCUGCUCAGAAUCCCUGCCAUGUCAGUCACUGUCAUGGGAAGUGAGACCUCCGGGCAGAGAUAUAAUGUACAAGUAAAUAAGUAAAUUAAAAUGUAAUCAUAAAUGAGUCUUCAAAUAGCACAAAAGAGGGCAAAAGAAUGGAAACAGACAAAAAUAAAAGCAGUGGAAGAAACAGAACACAAACAACAAGGCAGUAGAGCUAAAUCCAACCAUACUAAUAAUUAUA